UGAUAAACAUCUGCGGCAGAGCAGCUUUUAGAGGACAGGUUAAAGGAAGUGAGCGCAGCGUUUUAACAUCUGAUAAGGAGGCCAGGAUAAUGGAAUAAUAGCUUCAGUGUUUUUGACAGGUUCUUCCAGAUGGUUGACCCACAGGUCUGAAUGUUUUGAUGACGCUUCAUCUGAGGCUGUGACAGAUUAACAGGUCGGACGGUGGAAGGAGACACUUCCUUAGCUCUCGUGUCAGCCUUCCUCUACUGUACACUACAUUUUAAGAGAGAGAUUAAUAUCCCACAGACUACAUGCUGGACUGAUCUGGACACAAAGUAUUUCACUGCAGGAAGCUGCUCACAUUCAGCCCAGAAGAGCACUGGAUGAGUUGGAUGAGUGUGAGGGUUUCUGACCGGCGGUGGGCCGUGAAUGUGGGCCCCCGUGGUGCAGCAUUGAAAGGCUAAUUCCCUCUGUGUGUCCUCGCUUUCCUUAAAAUCUGCCACAAAGCGCCUUGUGGAGAAGGAGGAGUCCCAGAGGAUUCUGAAACUGGCUCCCGUACCUCCCCCGGUCCGACCGGUUCAAACCCCCCUCCAGCUUUACUCUUUUACCCUAAACACAAACACCUCCAGGCUGAUGACGCUGCUGUCUCUGAUCCUCUUCUUGAGGCUCAAGGCUGUCUUCACUGGUGGAGCCCUGUUAUCUCCUCUGGGGAUAAGUAAGGAUAAUGUGUGUUCAUGCUCUGCACUGCAGUGAGGCCUGGAGCGUUCCAGUGAACUCCAUGCUGAAUGUGAGCAGCUUAAAAUGUGAAUGUAGUUAUAUUAUGUCAGCGUAACUGCAGCACAGUCUGAAUUAUGCGUUUAGUGUGUCGAGAUGACUGACAGGUUGCUGCAGUUUAUACUAUAUUUAUAGUAAAGAAAGUGUUAUACAGCCUUGGCAAGGCUGAAAUGUACAGUAUAGCAUAGUAUAGUACCGUGUAGUAUAGUAUAUUACUGUAUAGUAUAGUAUAGUGCAGUAUAGUGUACUAUAGUAUACGAUGGCAUGGUAUGGAUGCAUCAUUAAGAAGACCAUGCUGCCAUGUUGGUGGGCAAGCUGUAACUCUGACUCGUCUCAUUACUGUUACUGCAGCUACAACCCUGCAAGUGGCUGAAGACCAAAGGCAAAAUAGCAAAAUAGAUCAGAAUAACCAUAACAAGAUAUGUGAACA